GACGAACGCUGGCGGCGUGCCUAAUACAUGCAAGUUGAGCGCUGAAGGUUGGUACUUGUUCCAACUGGAUGAGCAGCGAACGGGUGAGUAACGCGUGGGGAAUCUGCCUUUGAGCGGGGGACAACAUUUGGAAACGAAUGCUAAUACCGCAUAAAAACUUUAAACACAAGUUUUAAGUUUGAAAGAUGCAAUUGCAUCACUCAAAGAUGAUCCCGCGUUGUAUUAGCUAGUUGGUGAGGUAAAGGCUCACCAAGGCGAUGGUACAUAGCCGACCUGAGAGGGUGAUCGGCCACAUUGGGACUGAGACACGGCCCAAACUCCUACGGGAGGGAGCGGUAGGGAAUCUUCGGCAAUGGACGAAAGUCUGACCGAGCAACGCCGCGUGAGUGAAGAAGGGUUUCGGAUCGUAAAACUCUGUUGGUAGAGAAGAACGUUGGUGGGAGUGGAAAGCUCAUAAAGUGACGGUAACUACCCAGAAAGGGACGGCUAACUACGUG
rnacentral:rRNA from 1 species